rnacentral:rRNA from 1 species
GUAAUACAUCGGAACGUACCCAGUAGCGGGGGAUAGCCCGGCGAAAGCCGGAUUAAUACCGCAUACGCCCUACGGGGGAAAGGGGGGGAUCUUCGGACCUCUCACUAUUGGAGCGGCCGAUGGCUGAUUAGCUAGUUGGUGGGGUAAAGGCCUACCAAGGCGACGAUCAGUAGCUGGUCUGAGAGGACGACCAGCCACACUGGGACUGAGACACGGCCCAGACUCCUACGGGAGGCAGCAGUGGGGAAUUUUGGACAAUGGGCGAAAGCCUGAUCCAGCAAUGCCGCGUGUGCGAAGAAGGCCUUCGGGUUGUAAAGCACUUUUGUCAGGAAAGAAAGGGUCUGGGCUAAUACCCCGGGCCAUUGACGGUACCUGAAGAAUAAGCACCGGCUAACUACGUGCCAGCAGCCGCGGUAAUACGUAGGGUGCAAGCGUUAAUCGGAAUUACUGGGCGUAAAGCGUGCGCAGGUGGUUUGUUAAGACAGCUGUGAAAUCCCCGGGCUCAACCUGGGAACUGCAAUUGUGACUGGCAGACUAGAGUUUGGCAGAGGGGGGUGGAAUUCCUGGUGUAGCAGUGAAAUGCGUAGAUAUCAGGAGGAACACCGAUGGCGAAGGCAGCCCCCUGGGCCAUGACUGACACUCAUGCA